rnacentral:rRNA from 1 species
UACGAAGGGGGCUAGCGUUGCUCGGAAUCACUGGGCGUAAAGCGCACGUAGGCGGCUUGCUAAGUCAGGGGGGAAAUCCUGGAGCUCAACUCCAGAACUGCCUUUGAUACUGGCGAUCUCGAGUCCGGGAGAGGUGAGUGGAACUGCGAGUGUAGAGGUGAAAUUCGUAGAUAUUCGGAAGAACACCAAUGGCGAAGGCAGCUCUCUGGGACGGUACUGACGCUGAGACGCGAAAGCGUGGGGAGCGAACAGG